rnacentral:tRNA from 1 species
GCGCCGAAAGCAUAGACCGCGAUGCGCCCGCCAUCCAGGCGGGAGAGGGGAGUUCAAUUCUCACCUCGGCGCUCCA